rnacentral:lncRNA from 1 species
AAUUACUUACCUGUGAAAAGUUAUUUUAUCUUGCUUAGAAUUGUGGUUCCUAGUUCUACCACACACACAUAGCAAAUAUGCAUAUUUAUAACAUAGAGUAAACUGUAAAGUUUACACUUUUACUAUUAAUGUUUUAAACACUACCACAAAAGUUCACGGAGAAACGCUGUUUGGUCACUUGCCGAAAAACGCAUGAGGGUGUUCAUCUUCCGUGUGCUAAAUGUUCCAUUGCCUUCAGUUACAAGUCCAACCUCAAAAAACACUUGAAAAAUGUUCAAGGAAUCGUACAACCCCAAUUCAGCAGGGAAAUAUACGGAUCACACCAGAUACAACAUAUAACUGUUCCGGAUAUUUCAGCAGGGCUGUCAUAUGUACGAGAUACCAUUGUAGACGAAUUUUUGAACCAUGUGGAUGACGAUAACUAUUACGUACAAGUUGCUGAUAUCGUCGAAGAUCUUGGAUUCUGUAAAAAGGAAGGAAUUCGUGGUGAAUUGACUCAGGUGAAUAUAAGAUAUGCAACGGCGAAUUUUGAAAAGACACCAGAUUAUGAUCCAACACAACCAAAAUCAUGGCAUAUUUAUCACAAUUGUAAGUAUAAUUUUAUAUUUAAUAUAAUAUAUUAUUUAAAUUACAGGUAACAACUCGUACGGAUUAGCAAUGUCACAUUUCAUGCCAUACGGGGGCUUUAAAUGGGUUGAACCCAAACUAGAGGGUCUAAUGAUUUGGACAAAAGAUCACCAAUCGGGUGGAUAUACGAGGUUAAUAUAUCAUAUCCAAAAGAACUUCAUGACAAGAAUAAUGACUUACCAUUCCUAUUGAAAAAUGGUAUUCCGCCUGGUUCAAAAGUUAAGAAACAUAUGGUAACACUUCUUUCAAAGAAAAAAUACGUUAUACAUUAUCGUAACCUGCAGCAAGCCAUUAAACACGGACUAGUAGUGGAAAAAGAGUUAUCCAGUUUGAUCAGUCAGAACGUCUUAAGAAAUACAUAGAAUUAAACACUGAGAUAUGAAAAAAAGCUAGGAACCACUUUGAAAAGGACUUUUUUAAGCUUUUAAACAACGCUGUUUUCGGGAAGACCAUGGAAAGCCUUAAACGGAGAAUUAAAAUGGAACUGGUUUGUGGUGAAAAACGAUUACAGAAACGUAUAAACUGUUCAACAUUCAAACAUUGCAUUACAUAUGAUGAAACUCUCAAUUAGUAUCAUUGGCAAAUAAAAUCAUUGAUUUUUUUCAAGCCUAUUUAUAUAAUUUUAAACAGGUUUCGCAGUGUUGAAAAUGUCUUAAACCAUCAUGUACGAUUACCAUCAUAACGUUAUGCAAGCCCAUUAUGGAAAUAAAAUUGAUUUCAUGUAUUCCAAUACAUAUUCACUGGUGUACUUUAUCCAAACCAAUGAUUUUUACAAAGACCUAGAGAAUAAUUACAAUUUAAUCGUUCGAAAGGACACAUCAGAAUUACCACAAGACCAUCCGUGUUACAUUGUUGAAUGAAAGAAAAUACCAGGACUAUUUUUCGACAAAACUAGGGCAGAAAUUGUGACAGAAUUUUGUGCAGAGAUCAAUUUCAAGGAGAAGAUCAGGGUGAAAGGAAUCUAAAAGAAUGAAGUGAAAACCACAUGAACUUCAAUGAUCGUUAUCGUCAUCUUUUUGGAGAUGCAACCUUGGAUACGAAGACGGAAAAUGUCUCAAUUAAUUUAUUCAAACAUCAAUUUAAGACCAUUAAAUCAAACAAAUUAACUUAUAAUAGUUUAGAUGACAAGAGGGUUAUACUUGAGGAUAAAGUACAUACUCUGAAUCACGGUCACUACUUCACAGAGAAAGCCGAUGCACUAGAGCCAGCCGAAUUAAUACAACUUAUAGAACCCGAACUGAACAGAUAGUUUUUAUCCUAAAAUAGAUAUGGAAUUGUAAAAUAACUUUGUAGAUAUUUAAUUUUUGUAAAAUAUCUACUGGUAUAAUAUAUUUUUUUUAUUUUGUAAA